UACGGGAGGUGCAAGCGUUGUUCGGAAUUACUGGGCGUAAAGCGCACGUAGGCGGCUAUUCAAGUCGGGGGUGAAAGCCCGGGGCUCAACCCCGGAACUGCCCUCGAAACUAGGUAGCUAGAAUCUUGGAGAGGCGAGUGGAAUUCCGAGUGUAGAGGUGAAAUUCGUAGAUAUUCGGAAGAACACCAGUGGCGAAGGCGACUCGCUGGACAAGUAUGACGCUGAGGUGCGAAAGCGGUGGGGAGCAAAACAGG
rnacentral:rRNA from 1 species